CACCGCGGUUAUACGAGAGGCCCUAGUUGAUAACUACCGGCGUAAAGAGUGGUUAUGGAAAAUAUUUAAUAAAGCCGAACACCCCCUCAGCCGUCAUACGCACCUGGGAGCACGAAGACCUACUGCGAAAGCAGCUUUAAUUAUGCCUGACCCCACGACAGCUAAGAAA
rnacentral:rRNA from 1 species